AUGAAAAUCGUAAGUUGGAACUGCCGGGGACUCGGGAACGGCCCGGCAGUUCGUAGCCUCCUUGACAUGGGGAGGAAGGAGGAGCCCGAUAUUUUGUCCUUAGCUAAAACGAAGAUGACGGUGAAGGAGCUGGAGAGGUUUAGAUGGAUGCUGGGACUAACAAACAUGAACGCUUGGAACCCUGAUGGGAGGAGUCGAGGUGUGGCCAUGUUUUGGAUAAGAGGAGUUGAUGUGACACUAAGAUCGUAUGGCCGAAGGCAUGUUGAUGUGGAUGUAUGUGAGGAAAAUGGUAUGGUUUGGCGCCUUACAGGAAUCUAUGGGGAGUCAGUGUCAGAGAGGAAGAUUGAGACGUGA
rnacentral:rRNA from 1 species